rnacentral:rRNA from 1 species
UACGUAGGGUGCAAGCGUUGUCCGGAAUUAUUGGGCGUAAAGAGCUCGUAGGCGGUCUGUCGCGUCGGCUGUGAAAACCCGGAGCUCAACUCCGGGCCUGCAGUUGAUACGGGCAGACUGGAGUUCGGCAGGGGAGACUGGAAUUCCUGGUGUAGCGGUGAAAUGCGCAGAUAUCAGGAGGAACACCGGUGGCGAAGGCGGGUCUCUGGGCCGAUACUGACGCUGAGGAGCGAAAGCGUGGGGAGCGAACAGG